CUUUUGAGAGAGGGUUUGAGAAGAUUUGCAUUUUUAGAGCAUAAUACGAUGGAAAUUGUAAGCUACAUUAGGGAAGGGAUUAUUAUUUAUACUCGGCCAUUAUGGUAUAAUCGAUCGGGGGCCUGGAUAUGAUGGUUUAUCCUACUGCGGAUGUUAGCAAUUGGUGUCCACUUAUCUCCAACUUUUGAAUUUAGCUUGUACAAAACUAUGAUUGCGUCUACUUUUUUCAAU
rnacentral:lncRNA from 1 species